rnacentral:rRNA from 1 species
UACGUAGGGGGCAAGCGUUGUCCGGAAUCAUUGGGCGUAAAGAGCGUGUAGGCGGCCAGAUAAGUCCGCUGUGAAAUCUCGAGGCCCAACUUCGAGCUGUCGGUGGAAACUGUCUGGCUAGAGUCCGGAAGAGGAGAAUGGAAUUCCUGGUGUAGCGGUGAAAUGCGCAGAUAUCAGGAAGAACACCCGUGGCGAAGGCGGUUCUCUGGGACGGUACUGACGCUGAGACGCGAAAGCGUGGGGAGCGAACAGG